GGCACCCCUAUGCACUCCCUACGCAUCUGGGAUGGCACCCCUGCCCUGAGGGCCCCGCAGAGUCCCACCCUUCCUGCAACCAGCCCCUCCAAAGCCAUUAAACCACCCACAAAUCCAGCCCCAACGCCCCCACAGGCCCCAAAACGCCUCCGAGCCCUGCCGCAAUGUUGUCACUGACUCCAGACCUUCGCCUGCACUCUGUCCAAGGCCCCAAACAUUCCUCAGACUGCUGCCAGACCCAGUCCCCGCAGCAGUGAGGCGUUCUAACAAAGAUGGGGUGCGAUCUGCGUCUCCGCCUCGACUCGGUCCCGCUUUAGAGAAACAGGAACUUAGAGCACUUCCUGGUGAAGAGUGUUGACGGGUGGAUGCGCAGAUGACAAAGAGAUUUUUCUCUCUUUUCUUCUGAGCCGCCUCUGAGAAGCCUCUGUAUGUGCACGAUGUGGCUGAUCUGGGAUAAUCGUGCUGUGCGCAGUGCUUAAGGAGAACAUUGCCCUAAAAUGGCGGGCUAAGGAAUAGCCUAAAAAACCUAAAAGGCUCGGGAAAAGCUCAAGAGAACACCGAUGGGCUCUGGGAAGCCCCAGUGAUGCUAGCGAAAACAGCGUGGCUUUUAGGCACCUCCUCAGAGCAGCAGCAAUGUCUCGCUCCAGCCUAUGGGACAAUGGGGACUCUUAAUUACCGCCUUGAAUUACCACAAGUGUUGCGAAAGCAGAAGGGACUAGGGAGCAUGCAGAGCAGGUUGUGGACUAUAUGUCAAGUUUAAACAAGCAACAAGCCCCUCUGCAAAUAGAAACAGGUUUAGCCCGAAGUAAUAGACGAAGGUAGCUGUGAGUAACGUGAAGCGAAGCGGUGACGUCGGUCACCCCGAAAGCCUCGGAGAAGCGGUCUGAAAAUCUGGUACCCUCGCGGCCUCGGCAGUCUUUUUGGUUUGUUUGGCAGGGCAGCCCACCAAAGGGGGACAUCUCGAAGAGAAGCAGCAAGACCUGGGGAUCCGGUGGUUCAUUUUGGUCAUCGCCUGUGAGGCCAGCGUCCGAGCGUAAGAGGAAGCUAGGAGCUGUGUCGAAAAGAGAUGGAACCAAGGACAGCAAAUGCUGACGAAGAGAAGAGACGGACAAGCGUUUUCUUGUGGUUAAUACCGAAGGGACGGGAUGAAACAAGGAAGCCAGAAUGCAGCGGCCCCUCGAUAUCACCAGGAACUGCUGCAGGAGGAGGCGUUCUGGCACGGGUAACUAAGGCAGCUACGGAAAGGAAUAGAUGUCAUCCUUACUUUUUUAGAUUAAUUGCCACGGCUGAAGUUGAAGAGACCAAGAAAGGUACGCACCGAAAGGGCACAUCUUGAAGAGAGGCGGCUAGACCUAGCGAUCCAGUUGUUCGUUUUGGUCGUCGCCUGUGAGGCCAGCGUCCGAGCGUAAGAGGAAGCUAGGAGCUGUCUCAAAAAGAGAUGGGACCAACGAGAGCAAAUGCUGACCAAGAGAAAAGCUGGACAAGCAGUUUUUUGUGAUUAAUACCUAAGGGACGGGAUGAAGCAAGGAAGCAAAAAUGCGGCGGACCCUCGAUGUCGCCAGAAACGGCUGCAGGAGGAGGUGUUCUGGCACGGGUAACUAAGGCGUUCAGGACCUCGGGGAACGACUGUGUGCUGCCGUGAAGAACUACAGGCUACCACCGCUCUCGGACCUUUGAUGCUGUUCUGAGGGCCAGCAACUCGAAGGGAUGCAGCUCGGCCUGUUUUGUUGACUUUGGCGAUGCUGUUUUGAGGAAGCAUGUGCUGAAGCCCAGUCGGGCAGUCGAAGGAGCCUUGUCACAGCUGGGAGCUCUGCGGAGAUGCGCGGCUGGCCAUGGAGAGUGAGCUCUGACUUGCAGCGUGGACACAGCUAAGUCCUGGGCUGCAUCAUAUGUGAGCAGUGCUGGGAGGUGCGAGGUGAUUGUUCCCUAGGUGGUCACUGGUGUCACUGGCUGUGGAUGUUUGCCCAUGGAGCUGAGAGGACCAAAAAUAUUAAUUGUCUGACCCGGAGAUGAAUUAGUGCUUGCAGUGCUUCAGG